UCCAGACUCCUACGGGAGGCAGCAGUGGGGAAUAUUGCACAAUGGGGGGAACCCUGAUGCAGCAACGCCGCGUGGGUGAAGAAGUACUCCGGUAUGUAAAGCCCUGUCAGCAGGGAAGAAAAUGACGGUACCUGACCAAGAAGCCCCGGCUAACUACGUGCCAGCAGCCGCGGUAAUACGUAGGGGGCAAGCGUUAUCCGGAUUUACUGGGUGUAAAGGGAGCGUAGACGGCAAGGCAAGUCUGGAGUGAAAGGCGGGGGCCCAACCCCCGGACUGCUUUGGAAACUGUAUGGCUGGAGUGCAGGAGAGGUAAGUGGAAUUCCUAGUGUAGCGGUGAAAUGCGUAGAUAUUAGGAGGAACACCAGUGGCGAAGGCGGCUUACUGGGCUGUAACUGACGUUGAGGCUCGAAAGCGUGGGGAGCAAACAGGAUUAGAUACCCUAGUAU
rnacentral:rRNA from 1 species